rnacentral:rRNA from 1 species
GACGAACGCUGGCGGCGUGCUUAACACAUGCAAGUCGAACGGAAAGGCCCUUUCGGGGGUACACGAGUGGCGAACGGGUGAGUAACACGUGGGUGAUCUGCCCUGCACUUUGGGAUAAGCCUGGGAAACUGGGUCUAAUACCGGAUAGGACUACGCGAUGCAUGUCGUGUGGUGGAAAGCUUUUGCGGUGUGGGAUGGGCCCGCGGCCUAUCAGCUUGUUGGUGGGGUGAUGGCCUACCAAGGCGACGACGGGUAGACGGCCUGAGAGGGUGGCCGGCCACACUGGGACUGAGAGACGGCCCAGACUCCUACGGGAGGCAGCAGUGGGGAAUAUUGCACAAUGGGCGCAAGCCUGAUGCAGCGACGCCGCGUGAGGGAUGACGGCCUUCGGGUUGUAAACCUCUUUCAACGCCGACGAAGCGUAAGUGACGGUAGGCGUAGAAGAAGCACCGGCCAACUACGUGCCAGCAGCCGCAGUAA